GUAUUAGUGAAGAGGCACACAAUUAGCGUGUUGUUCCUUUCUGUAUUGUGCUGAGAGGAUCCAAGGGAUUGGUGGGGGAACAGGCAAGCCAGGCAUCACCGUGGAUAUUGAAGAAGGGGGUUACUCAAACCUCGGCAUCUUCACUUGCUCGCUCUGGAAUUACAGCUAUUUAUUACGAAGCACUCUGUGUGGCUUAGUGGAGUGUGUCUGAGGAAACACAUCCGGACACCACUUAGGGUUAGUCUUUCUGAGCUCUUCACAUCUCUGACUAAUUAUCUUCAUUAUCAUGGAGCCCAACAGUCCCAAAAAGAUACAAUUUGCUGUGCCUUUAUUCCAGAGUCAGAUUGCACCUGAAGCAGCAGAGCAGAUCAGGAAAAGAAGACCUACACCAGCAUCACUUGUGAUUCUCAAUGAGCAUAACCCACCAGAAAUAGAUGACAAGAGGGUGCCCAACACACAAGGGGAAUCUCAGAAUGCAUCCCCUAAGCAAAGGAAGCAGAGUGUGUACACACCACCCAUCAUAAAAGGGGUUAAGCAUCUGAAAGGCCAGAAUGAAUCAGCAUUCCCUGAAGAAGAAGAAGGCACCAGUGAAAGAGAGGAGCAGCAGGACCAUUAAUUACUGGUCUGCAGCAAGAAGGCUUCUUGGAAAUAACUGAACUAUUAACUUUUCUGAAUAUACCAUGGAAUUCCACCGCUUGAUUUCCGGAAGCAUCCUCCAUCUCUGCACCCGCACUCAUACAGUAGCUAUGCACCUCCUGGAAGUCUCCUUAACUGAACUUUAGAACUAAGUGCAAAAUGAGUUGAUAACAACCAGAAGCUGACUUGUUAGUGCUGUGCUUCUACUUGAGCUUGGAAAAAUCCCAACACAAAACAAACAUCACCUCCAAUUCCAUCAUGAUGCCACAUUGCUUCCUACUGGAUUACCUCCUGAAGCACUUUAGAUAUUUUAUACAUAAGUAUUGACAUGUUUUUCGGAAGCUGUUUCUUCACUUAAUCGCUUUUUUUCUAAUAAUUUAUAUUACACCAUUUGCCAAGUUCUUCCCUGUGGUUUUAGUUUAUUUCUCUCUACUACUAAAAAAGGAAUCUUGAGUUUAGGUAAAUUUUAAGUGAUUCAUUUUUAGUUUUUCUAAUUCUGGAAUCCGAGCCUUCUCUUACAACAGGAAGUCUUUCAAACACAUUUUUUGUUGUUUCUUUUUCAAAUUCCACUGUGUUUACUUAUUGCUUUGUUUCUUUUUCAAAUUCCAUUGGUCUUGAUUUAAUUUAGUUCCACAAAUUUUAUUGAUAGUCUACUACCUGCCAACUACUGAAUGAAACAGCAGACUUCUAAAAAUGAAAAGGCUAUUUUAUUGUCAUUGCCAUCCUGCUAGUAAAGAUUUGUUCAAUUAUUUAUAAUUAAUUAAGUGGCUUCACCUAUGUUUCUCUGUUAAUAAUCACAUUAAAUAUGUAUGGCAGGUAGGAUUUGUGUAAUAGAUAAGAAAACUAGAGUCCAAAGAAAAUAAGUGGCCCCAAAUGAACCAAUAAUCCAACAAACCCUUCCACUAACUAGCUUCUGACCUGUUUGAGUUGUGAUAGAUUUUAGGAUAGAAAAGCCCAUUCUCCUUAGAAGCCAUAGACUUUUAUUCUUUCUUAUACUGUCUUAUAUAUUGACUUAGAGCUAAACUUCCUGCAAUUCAGACAUAAAGCAUAGGCAGAUACUUUUGCUAAUGAGGCUAAGGUGGGAAGAAAACUCUGAGUUCUACUUCAAACUGAGAUGGCCUAUAAGAAAUAAAAGAAAUAAAUUUGAAACUUUAAAAAAAGCAUUUGGUUCAUCUAAAAAUGUUUCCUAUGUCUAAAUCUAUAUUUUAAAAAUAACCUUUAUGACGUAAAAUGAGAGAAUUGCUGAGCUUAUGACAAUCUUAGAUAUAAUCUUUUCUGAAAGAACAAGGCAUCGAUCUUUAAUUUGUUUCCCUUUCUUGAUUUCUCAUAAGUUGCAAAACAAAAAUAAAAAUAAUUUCA